rnacentral:rRNA from 1 species
UGAGGAAUAUUGGUCAAUGGGCGAGAGCCUGAACCAGCCAAGUCGCGUGAAGGAAGACGGUUCUAUGGAUUGUAAACUUCUUUUGUAAGGGAAUAAAGUUCACUACGUGUAGUGUUUUGUAUGUACUUUACGAAUAAGGAUCGGCUAACUCCGUGCCAGCAGCCGCGGUAAUACGGAGGAUCCAAGCGUUAUCCGGAUUUAUUGGGUUUAAAGGGUGCGUAGGCGGACCCAUAAGUCAGUGGUGAAAGUUUGCAGCUUAACUGUAAAAUUGCCGUUGAAACUGUGGGUCUUGAGUGUAAAUAAAGUAGGCGGAAUGUGUUGUGUAGCGGUGAAAUGCUUAGAUAUAACACAGAACACCAAUUGCGAAGGCAGCUUACUGGGAUACAACUGACGCUGAGGC